AGGCCCAAAUCUGCAUAAGAUGCAAAAUAUUACAAUCUAAAUAAAAUGAAUAAUCAAUUGUAAUUUUAAAAGCAUUACUUGCAAGGCGAGUGGAAAUCCAUAAAUUGAAUAUGGAUAUUUCUCAUUAUUUAUCAAAUAUGAUUUCACCAACGAUCUCCAGUCUCUCGUGAAUACAUCUAUUGUACGCCCAAACACCUUUCUCCCCCAAGGAUAACUAUUAAAAGCCUCUAGGUCAUCAAUCAUUGACAAGUGUUCUAAAUUUUUGUAUGUGUAGUUUUCUUAGGGCAGUAGUACCGUUUCCAAAAUAUAUACAAGCUCAAUCCUGUACUUGUCUUCCGUACGCACUUUGUGACUUUCAAUAGCUUUCUUCAAAUUGUACACCGUUAUGCCUUUCUUGCACUUUUUAAAGUGUUUCUUCACCAAUCUAUCAUUAGUCACAAUAUGGGGCUCCAACGAAGGCUCCUCACUUGCUCUCAACCCCGUUAUCAACGAGAACUUGUAUAAUGAAAAUCGUGUUAGCUUACCUCCAAUUGAAAACCAGAUCUCAUUUUUUUUUGUUACAAUCAUUCUCAUUACAAGUUGGUGGACUAGCUAUGCUGAAAGAGGUAUGCGCUUCAUUCAAUAAAGUUGUCCGAAACAAGAUUCCAUCAACAUUUCUUGAUGAACAUCAUCUAACAUUUCCCGAACAUAGUCAAGUUUUUGAAGGGAAGACUUUUACGAAGGCCUGCCUUUAAUUCUAUGUUCAAUGGAAAUCACAUAGUCAAAUGAGCGUUCCAUUUUUGUAAUGAAAAAAUAAAAUGAUCAUGUUAAGUUGUCAAAAUUACAUAAACAACAGGGUGACAUUUUUAGAAUUACAUAAACGCAGGGUGACAUUUUCAGAAUUACAUAAAUAGCAGGGUGACAUUUUCAAAAUUCCUAAAGAAGACGUGAAGAUUUCAGUUGACCACCAUCAUUUUGCUGCAAUCAAAAGUUUCCGCUAAAACCAUGUUCAAGUUUCCGCAUAGAUUUUAGUUUCUGAACAUUUGGAUCAAUAAACUAUAGAAAACUCUAAAACAGAUUAAUGAAAUUACCUAAUAAUUAACAUAUUGAAAAUCCACAUUUCCCCUGGCACUCAAAGAAAAAAAAAAAGCUAAAUAGAAGGGGAGAAACCAGGAAUAAUAUUCCAGUGUGAGUGAAAUUUCAUCAAGGCCGGACUUUAUUUUCGAUCAUGAAUUCAAUGAUGGUAAAAAUAUAAACUAGUAUUAUGACAGCAUUAAAAUGGCAUAGUUUAUGAAUUACUAUUGUUCCUUUCAAAUUUUCAACCAACUAUACUCCAACCAAAUAACUACUAAACUCAUGAUAAGUGCAUUUCAGAAUGAAAGUGAACAAUAGAAAUGUAUGGAUUUUCAUACUCACAUUAAACUUGAAAACAUUUUAUUAAAAAUAAGAUAUUAAGUGAAACAAAUCCCCCUAAAAAUUAAUAGGUACACUUAGGUAUAAACUCAAUGAUGAUUCUAUGCCAAGUACAAAAAGGUACACUUAGGUAUAAGAUAGUCUUUCCUUUUUCAAGAUGAUUUUGCACUUUAUUGUUUAACCUUUGGUUUUGAUUGGUUUAAUACAAGAAAUUGUCAUUAAAAUUCUUUCUAGUUAUAAGCGUGAUUAGAAAUUUAUGAACCUGCAAGUCUCAAACCCAUUCUGUAGGGGUCUUUCAAAUAUGAAUUUCCACUUGAUUUUUGAUUGAGGUCUAAAGAGACAUCCCGUAAAAAGCUAAUGUCCAUAUUGUAGAAUAAGAAUCUUUUUCAAUGUAUUAAUAGUUGUCACUAACAAUACAAAGAAGCCAUUUUUCCAUUCAACGAGAUAAAUAGGCUUGGCAAGAGUUAGGGAAAACAGAGGAGCUACGAGUAAUUGGAUGCAACUUUAGGUAAUUGAACCAUUUUGAAUCCCAAAACAUAUAAAAUUUUAAAGCAUUCCAUUUUACUUGAAUUCAAAAGUUAAUAUUACUAAAUACAAAAUUUUCACCUUUUGCGAGCUGCAUUAAUAAAUCACUCGAUCAUAGGAUAGGUCGAAAUUUUCUAACCAAUAUGACAUUCUAUUUGUGAAUAUCGAACAAGAUGAAUCUAUGUUGCCAUUUGUGAAUAACAUUUUCUUAAAAAUAACUCUUUCUAGUUUGUGCAUUGAGUGUUUAUGGAACAUAAGGAUUUUCUUAUUUUGAAUUGGAAUUAAUAGUUCAUGAGCAUUGCAGAUGUUAUAUAUAGAGAAACAUGGUCCAAUAGGGGGCCAUAAUAAUGUGCUAUCAAACAUUUAAAACCUACUAAAAAGGUCCAACUGGAGUCUCCUGUUCACUUUGACAGAAGCUAAAUUGAUAUUAUAUUGAUAGCACAAAUUGAAGGGAGAGACUGGCAGUAAAUAUAUAUUAUAGUUAGACAUUCGAGGCAUAUUUAACUAGCGCUCUUACACCUACAUUAGUUACCAUGAUCUUCCACGUCUUGAUUAUCUUAGUCUUCAUAAUUUUUUCUGCUAAUUCUGUUACUGCUUUUUUUUGACAUCCUCUUCUGAAAUUGCCAUCUUCAAAGCAACUAACCUACCUCAAUCUCCUUUCAUCUAAUCUAAGUAGACCCUUUCUGAAAACCAGGUUAGCAGAGACUAGUAAUUUGGGUCAUAGAGAGGCAAAAGAAGAAAUGAGACCCUGGAAUUCAAAAUGUAAUAUUAAUAAAUCAACAUAUUGAUGAUAAAUGCAGUACAUUAAGAUUUUGCUCAAGUACUCAUUACAUUCUAAAAAAACUAUAUACCAUGGUUUUCCUAUGCAAUUAUGGGUCAAUAACUCUAAAUAUCGUUAGAAAUUUCAUACCUAUGGAUAGCCCAGUAAGAUAUUGGUUCCUAGAACUGAAUUGGUGAAUAACUCUUAUGCAGGGGCGACUCCAACUCGCGAAAAUGGCAAUAAUGAUUCGCUAUACUGUAUGAACUCCGUAAUCCGUGAAGGAAGAAGACAAGAAGGGAUGGGGCUGAAUAUAUUGAUUUCGCGUCGGCGAUUCGAAUGGGAGGAACCGAUUGUGGCGCUCAAGAGAGAAGAACUGAAUGCCAAUCUAGGGUUUGAAUCGAUUUUGGAAUGGGAGAGGAAAUUCUGUAGUGUUG
rnacentral:lncRNA from 1 species